GAUGAACGCUGGCGGCGUGCCUAAUACAUGCAAGUCGAGCGAAAAGACGAGGAGCUUGCUCCUCUGACGUUAGCGGCGGACGGGUGAGUAACACGUGGAUAACCUACCUAUAAGACUGGGAUAACUUCGGGAAACCGGUGCUAAUACCGGAUAAUAUAUUGAACCGCAUGGUUCAAUAGUGAAAGACGGUUUUGCUGUCACUUAUAGAUGGAUCCGCGCCGCAUUAGCUAGUUGGUAAGGUAACGGCUUACCAAGGCGACGAUGCGUAGCCGACCUGAGAGGGUGAUCAGCCACACUGGAACUGAGACGCGGUCCAGACUCCGACGGGAGGCAGCAGUAGGGAAUCUUCCGCAAUGGGCGGAAGCCUGACGGAGCAACGCCGCGUGAGUGAUGAAGGUCUUCGGAGCGUAAAACUCUGUGAUUAGGGAAGAACAAAUGUGUAAGUAACUAUGCGCGUCUUGACGGUACCUAAUCAGAAAGCCACGGCUAACUACGUG
rnacentral:rRNA from 1 species